rnacentral:rRNA from 1 species
GAUCCUGGCUCAGGAUGAACGCUGGCGGCGUGCUUAACACAUGCAAGUCGAACGAAGCACUUUAUUUGAUUUCCUUCGGGACUGAUUAUUUUGUUGACUGAGUGGCGGACGGGUGGAGUAACGCGUGGGUAACCUGCCUUGUACAGUGGGAUAACAGUUGGAAACGGCUGCUAAUACCGCAUAAGCGCACAGCAUCGCAUGAUGCAGUGUGAAAAACUCCGGUGGUAUAAGAU